rnacentral:lncRNA from 1 species
UUUGGAGAUAAAAAUGACAAAGGAGAACCUCCUGAACAGAAUCCAGUUUGCUUUUAGCUUUAGCCAUCUCUCUGACCUCAGUGCUGCUGGACUCAGUUCCAAGAUCUAACUGUCAAAUGCUUUAGGGGAAACGGGAGGAGAAGUCCCUGGAGUAACCCAUGUGCGCAGCCUGGCACUGUUUUCACUUGCCUUUGGAAAUGAAGGUGCAGAAACCAUGGGAGGAACCUGAUGAAAUGCCUGGUCUAACAGGAGGAUGCAGAGAAAGUUAUGAAGAGAGGAUCCUGAGGAAUUUGCUCCUGGGCCGUGAAGAUGGGAAGCUGAGUCAGAGUGCAGUUCUUCACCCAAUCCCACAGCCACACGUGCCUGCUUGCUCACGGGAUCUUCCCACUCUCCUCGGGAAGGCUUCCGAGCUGCUUCCUCAGGAUGUCCUGUGAUAGCAGCCUGACCUGUCAAAGCCAUGCGAAUACCAUCUGUUCAGUUAUAUAACUUGAGAUCUGGGAAGAAUUCUCAACAGGCGGGGUUUCACUACAUUGACCAGGCUGGUCUUGAACUUCUGACCUCAGUGGCUUCUAGAAGAGUGAGUCUGGAAAAUACUGCCCCUACUUUCAAAUGGGAGAAAGCCUCCCUUGUACUAAGUUUGCAAUCAUUAGAAAACUGUUGAUAUACAGCAAAAGAAACUACUAUCAGAGUGAACAGGCAACUUACAGAAUGGGAGAAAAUUUUUGCAAUCUACUCAUCUGACAAAGGGCUAAUAUCCAGAAUCUACAAAGAACUCAAACAAAUUUACAAGAAAAAACAAACAACCCCAUCAAAAAGUGGGCGAAGGAUAUGAACAGACACUUCUCAAAAGAAGACAUUUAUGCAGCCAACAGACACAUGAAAAAAUGCUCGUCAUCACUGGCCAUUGGAGAAAUGCAAAUCAAAACCACAAUGAGAUACCAUCUCACACCAGUUAGAAAGGCAGUCAUUAAAAAGUCAGGAAACAACAAGUGCUGGAGAGGAUGUGGAGAAAUAGGAACACUUUUACACUGUUAGUGGGACUGUAAACUGGUUCAACCAUUGUGGAAGACAGUGUGGCGAUUCCUCAAGGAUCUAGAACUAGAAAUACCAUUUGACCCAGCCAUCCCAUUACUGGGUAUAUACCCAAAGGAUUAUAAAUCAUGCUGCUAUAAAGACACAUGCACACGUAUGUUUAUUGUGGCACUAUUCACAAUAGCAAAGACUUGGAACCAACCCAAAUGUCCAUCAAUGAUAGACUAGAUUAAGAAAAUGUGGCACAUAUACACCAUGGAAUACUAUGCAGCCAUAAAAAAGGAUGAGUUCAUGUCCUUUGUAGGGACACGGAUGAAGCUGGAAACCAUCAUUCUCAGCAAACUAUUGCAAGGACAAAAAACCAAACACUGCAUGUUCUCACUCAUAGGUGGGAAUUGAACAAUGAGAACACUUGGACACAGGAAGCGGAACAUCACACACCGGGGCCUGUUGUGGGGUGGGGGGAGGGGAGAGGGAUAGCAUUAGGAGAUACACCUAAUGUAAAUGACGAGUUAAUGGGUGCAGCACACCAGCAUGGCACAUGUAUACAUGUGUAACAAACCUGCAUGUUGUGUACAUGUACCCUAGAACUUAAAGUAUAAUAAAAAAUAAAUAAAAUAAAUAAAAUAAAA